CCUGAGAAACCCAAAAGAUCGAAUGGGGAGAUUCAUCGUCAGCUUUGUUUGAUAUAUAUAUGAGUUAUGAUAUGAAUAUAUUCUCUCACGGGAAUAUUAAUUUGUACAUACUUGUAUUAUUUUAUUGUUAAAUAUUGUCGGCGUGCACUUCUCCCCUUGUAGGACGUCGCGACCCGUUGAAUGUCGAUCUACGGCCCAAUUGGGUAGCCUUUGAUUGUAAUAAAUUAAAGACCAAUUGGUGUUUUCUGAACGACUGCUCGGCGGUACUCGUAUGGUAUUGAGUCGCAUAUUUAAUAUGCGUUAACACCCGUCGCAAGCGCGGCCAGUUACCCGGUAGUACGGACCUAGUGCCGUCGCUGGGCCUAGCCAGCUGUUGGCUGUUGCGGUGUUCUGUAACUGACUCUAAAAUAAUAUUACCGGUCAGCGACGCUACUGCUUUGGGUACUUUCAGGACCCGUCUUGAAACACGGACCAAGGAGUCUAACAUGUGCGCAAGUCAUUGGGAUUAUUUUAUUAAAUUAAACCUAAAGGCACAAUGAAAGUAAAGAUUGUCUUUGCGACGAUUAAGGGAGGAUGAGUCGUAUUACGAUGCGGCUCCGCACUCCCGGGGCGUCUUAUUNNNNAUUAUGAGANNNNCGCACCCAG
rnacentral:rRNA from 1 species